rnacentral:rRNA from 1 species
UACGUAGGGGGCAAGCGUUGUCCGGAUUUAUUGGGCGUAAAGGGUGCGUAGGCGGCGCGGUAAGUCGGGUGUGAAAUCUCGGAGCUUAACUCCGAAACUGCAUUCGAUACUGCCGUGCUUGAGGACUGGAGAGGAGACUGGAAUUUACGGUGUAGCGGUGAAAUGCGUAGAUAUCAGGAAGAACACCGAUGGCGAAGGCAGUUCUCUGGGACGGUACUGACGCUGAGACGCGAAAGCGUGGGGAGCGAACAGG